AAACCAGGUCAGCACCCAUCAAUUCACUACCCUCCGCAGAACCCUGAGACACAAGAGAUUUGAUGUUUGGCAUUAUAUGCAUAGAAAUGCAUGUCUUGAUUUGGAAUUUGGGGAGCUCUUUUUACACUUAACUACGAUUACAACCUCAUUCUGAGCUCCUUGGCUGAGAAAUGUCACAGACUGCUGAAGCUUGUCUCCAAGCCAAAGGCAAAUCUAUUUACAAAGUUGUCUUCAACUUUGGUAACUGAGCUUCAGCUUGAUUCUCCUUUGUUACAUGGUAUCUUCCUUCCCAAGAAAGUUGACCCUAGCCCUGGAU
rnacentral:lncRNA from 1 species